CCUACAGGAGGCUGCAGUGGGGAAUAUUGGACAAUGGGGGCAACCCUGAUCCAGCCAUGCCGCGUGUGUGAAGAAGGCCCUCGGGUUGUAAAGCACUUUCAGUGAGGAAGAACGCCUGGUGGUUAAUACCCAUCAGGAAAGACAUCACUCACAGAAGAAGCACCGGCUAACUCCGUGCCAGCAGCCGCGGUAAUACGGAGGGUGCGAGCGUUAAUCGGAAUUACUGGGCGUAAAGCGCGCGUAGGUGGCUUGAUAAGCCGGUUGUGAAAGCCCCGGGCUCAACCUGGGAACGGCAUCCGGAACUGUCAAGCUAGAGUGCAGGAGAGGAAGGUAGAAUUCCCGGUGUAGCGGUGAAAUGCGUAGAGAUCGGGAGGAAUACCAGUGGCGAAGGCGGCCUUCUGGACUGACACUGACACUGAGGUGCGAAAGCGUGGGUAGCAAACAGGAUUAGAUACCCCAGUAGUC
rnacentral:rRNA from 1 species